UACGGGGGGGCAAGCGUUGUUCGGAAUUACUGGGCGUAAAGGGCUCGUAGGUGGCCAACUAAGUCAGACGUGAAAUCCCUCGGCUUAACCGGGGAACUGCGUCUGAUUACUGGAUGGCUUGAGUUCGGGAGAGGGAGUGCGGAAUUCCGAGGUGUAGCGGUGAAAUGCGUAGAUAUCGUAAGGAAGACCAGUGGCGAAGGCGAGUCUCGUGGACAGUUACCGACGCU
rnacentral:rRNA from 1 species